ACUUAUAUUUUAUAUUCAAGUUAUUAUGUUUUAUAUGGCCAGUCAUUACGUCCACAUUUUAUUUUGAGCUAGUAGUAUGUUAUAUAUGGCCAGUUAUUACAUAUUAUAUUCAGGUGAAUACAAAGUGAUAUCUUCAGCUCUUUGCAUUGAUACAAGAAAUACAUCAGAUUGGCAAUUAAUAAACAUUUCUCUGCCCAAAGCAAACUAGUUUAAUAUUGUUAUUAAAAGAAGAAUUUUACUUUUUUAACGAUGUUUCAGCAACACAUUAUAACUGAAAUCUUGCUGUCAGAAGCUAAACAGGAAUCCAACAGUUAGUCUAAAUUCUUGCUAUUAUAUUGUCAAAUAAAUGCUUAUGAGAAUUACUUAAUUUUGUUUUAAGAAUCUGAACAUAGGUUAGACAUUUGUUGAUACACAUGUCAGUGUUUGGGUGUUCUGUUUACUAAAAUACUAUUUACUUAGUGGAAACAGAAAGUUGUACACUACUGACCAUUUUCAUCACAAGUGUUCACAUCUCACAGUCAGCAAUCAAGAACAAGGAAUAGAGAAAGUGAUCUGGGAAAAUGUGUCGGGGGAACGAUUGAAACCUACAGAAAACACAAGAACUAGGAAAAUUGAGAACGUUUUGAUCCAAUAAGCAAUGUCAAGGAUGCUUAAUUGUAAGAUCAUUUUUGUCAAUGAAAUAUCUCAAGAGUUGAUCUUCCUCAUCAAUUCUGCUUUAUUGCCUUUAGCUGUUGUCCAGUUGUUUUUUUUAUACCGAGUAUAUUUUGAGUUGCAGCCCUUGUCACAGAGGAAAUAGUACUAAUUCCUCUCUACUGUGAUACUGCUCUUACUUUCGGUUUUAAACACAAGACUUGAGAACUUUUGAUUCAGCAGCUGCUCAACAAGGCACACAAAUGACCAUACAACCUUUUCAACAAUACAAAGGUGAACAAAAACAAAAGGUGAAAUGAUCCUAUUGGACAUGUGACUUGCUAGAUUUCCUCCAUCAGAUUGAACAUGCUUUCAAUGUUCAUCAUGCAUGGUAGAAGCAAUGAGAGAAGCACUAGCUAAUUGGGUUGACUAAAAAAAAUAUUUAAAAAAUGUAUUAAUAAAUGUUUUGUUUUCAAAACAUGAUAACAUUUACAAAUGGCCACUAUAUAUAAUUAUUGUUUUUUUUCUUAUUAAAACUGUACAAUAACUUAAAAGAUCUCAACAAAUG
rnacentral:sRNA from 1 species